UACGAAGGGGGCUAGCGUUGCUCGGAAUUACUGGGCGUAAAGCGCGCGUAGGCGGAUCGUUAAGUCGGGGGUGAAAUCCUGGAGCUCAACUCCAGAACUGCCUUUGAUACUGGUAAGCUCGAGUCCGGGAGAGGUGAGUGGAACUGCGAGUGUAGAGGUGAAAUUCGUAGAUAUUCGCAAGAACACCAGUGGCGAAGGCGGCUCACUGGCCCGGUACUGACGCUGAGGUGCGAAAGCGUGGGGAGCAAACAGG
rnacentral:rRNA from 1 species